rnacentral:rRNA from 1 species
GGAUGAGCCCGCGGCCUAUCAGCUUGUUGGCGGGGUAACGGCCCACCAAGGCAACGACGGGUAGCCGGCCUGAGAGGGUGACCGGCCACACUGGGACUGAGACACGGCCCAGACUCCUACGGGAGGCAGCAGUGGGGAAUAUUGGACAAUGGGCGAAAGCCUGAUCCAGCAACGCCGCGUGAGGGAUGACGGCCUUCGGGUUGUAAACCUCUUUCAGCAGGGACGAAGCGAAAGUGACGGUACCUGCAGAAGAAGGACCGGCCAACUACGUGCCAGCAGCCGGGC